rnacentral:piRNA from 1 species
UCACAUGUCAUAAGGAAGUACAAAGGUGUU